rnacentral:misc_RNA from 1 species
GAUGAAGAACGUAGCAAAAUGCGAUAAGUAAUGUGACUUGCAGAAUUCAGUGAAUCAUCGAAUCUUUGAACGCACAUUGCGCCCGCCAGUAUUCUGGCGGGCAUGCCUGUUCGAGCGUCAUUUCAACCCUCAAGCCCUCGGGUUUGGUGUUGGGGAUCGGCGAGCCUUUCUGGCAAGCCGGCCCCGAAAUCUAGUGGCGGUCUCGCUGCAGCCUCCAUUGCGUAGUAGUAAAACCCUCGCAACUGGAACGCGGCGCGGCCAAGCCGUUAAACCCCCAACUUCUGAAUGUUGACCUCGGAUCAGGUAGGAAUACCCGCUGAACUUAAGCAUAUCAAUAAGCGGAGGA